AUUAUGAAUAGAAAAAGAAAGAAGGUUGAUACAAGAAUUGGAGGAUGAUGAUGGAAAAUUAGAAUACCGAAUGACUGAAAAAAAUAAAAUAGUACAAAACUAUUUUGAACAACUAUAUAGGGAGGAUGGAGUAAAUCCUGAGAAUAUAGAACAAUAUUUGAAAAGGAAAGGUCUCCCAGAAAUUAGACAGGAACAGAAAGAGAUAUUAAAUAAAGAAAUAACAGUGAUGAAAUUGAAAAGGGCGGUUGAAAGGCAGAAAGAUAAUAAGAUGCCAGGCCUGGAUGGUCUUCCAGUGGAACUGUAUAAAUGUAUUUAUGAAUGUCUUGAACCAGUGAUGUUAGAUGUGUUCAAUGAGGUAUUAGACUUUGCCAAAUUACCCGAUUCAUGGAGAGAAGCGAAUAUCUCACUAGUUUCUAAAGAAGAUUUAGAUCACAAACAGAUUAAAAAUUAUAGACCAAUCUCACUCCUGAACGUAGACUAUAAAAUAUUUGCAACAAUAAUGUUGAAAAGACUAAAAAUUAUAUUAACUGAACUUA